rnacentral:lncRNA from 1 species
CUUCUUCUUAACUUCUACAUAAGAGGCUUUGCACUGACACCUGAAGUAGGGAAUGAACAAGCCAUCCAGCUAAACACAAAGUGCCGCAUUGCACAAUGUGAGAAGCCCCCUCCCGGCUCCUGGUGCCUGCCCGGUGUUGAAAUUCACAGACCACCUCGCCUCAAGGUUUGCUCUCGCUCCAUACCCUCAGGUUCAGAAAUGAAGAUGGUUAAACUCCAUAAAUAGUAGCUCUUCCAGGUUUCAAAAAAUUAAAAGGAGGAAAGAGUUUCGCUACUAUGGCGUUUUCUGCUCCAGACGCUGUGAUUAUGAAAUGUCACCGUGGAAACAGUUCAAUAUUCUCUUAAAAAUAUAAAAGCAACUGAAAUGAAAAACUACCCAGA